CCUACGGGAGGCAGCAGUGAGGAAUAUUGGACAAUGGGCGCAAGCCUGAUCCAGCCAUGCCGCGUGCAGGAUGACGGUCCUAUGGAUUGUAAACUGCUUUUGCACAGGAAGAAACAACAUUACGUGUAAUGUCUUGACGGUACUGUGAGAAUAAGGAUCGGCUAACUCCGUGCCAGCAGCCGCGGUAAUACGGAGGAUCCAAGCGUUAUCCGGAAUCAUUGGGUUUAAAGGGUCCGUAGGCGGUUUAGUAAGUCAGUGGUGAAAGCCCAUCGCUCAACGGUGGAACGGCCAUUGAUACUGCUAAACUUGAAUUAUUAGGAAGUAACUAGAAUAUGUAGUGUAGCGGUGAAAUGCUUAGAGAUUACAUGGAAUACCAAUUGCGAAGGCAGGUUACUACUAAUAUAUUGACGCUGAUGGACGAAAGCGUGGGUAGCGAACAGGAUUAGAUACCCUGGUAGUCCACGCCGUAAACGAUGGAUACCAGCUGUUGGGAGCAAUCUCAGUGGCUAAGCGAAAGUGAUAAGUAUCCAACCUGGGGAGUUACGUUGCAAGAAUGAAACUUNAAAUGAAUUGACGG
rnacentral:rRNA from 1 species